GAUGAACGCUGGCGGCGUGCUUAACACAUGCAAGUCGAACGAUGAAGCCCAGCUUGCUGGGUGGAUUAGUGGCGAACGGGUGAGUAACACGUGAGUAACCUGCCCUUAACUCUGGGAUAAGCCUGGGAAACUGGGUCUAAUACCGGAUAGGAGCGCCUACCGCAUGGUGGGUGUUGGAAAGAUUUAUCGGUUUUGGAUGGACUCGCGGCCUAUCAGCUUGUUGGUGAGGUAAUGGCUCACCAAGGCGACGACGGGUAGCCGGCCUGAGAGGGUGACCGGCCACACUGGGACUGAGACACGGCCCAGACUCCUACGGGAGGCAGCAGUGGGGAAUAUUGCACAAUGGGCGAAAGCCUGAUGCAGCGACGCCGCGUGAGGGAUGACGGCCUUCGGGUUGUAAACCUCUUUCAGUAGGGAAGAAGCGAAAGUGACGGUACCUGCAGAAGAAGCACCGGCUAACUACGUGC
rnacentral:rRNA from 1 species